CCUACUGGGGUCAGCAGUGGUGACUAUUGGGCAAUGGACGCACGUCUGACCCAGCCACGCCGCGUGAAGGAAGAAGGCUUUCGGGUUGUAAACUUCUUUUAAGGGGGACGAGGAGAAGACGGUACCCCUUGAAUAAGCCACGGCUAACUACGUGCCAGCAGCCGCGGUAAUACGUAGGUGGCAAGCGUGGUCCGGAUUUACUGGGUGGAAAGGGCGUGCAUCCGGGCUGACAUGUCAGAUGUGAAAUCCGCGGGCUUAACCCGCGAACUGCAUUUGAAACUAGUGGUCUUGAGUGCCGGAGAGGUAAUCGGAAUUCCUUGUGUAGCGGUGAAAUGCGUAGAUAUAAGGAAGAACAGCAGUGGCGAAGGCGGCUAACUGGACUGCAACUGACGCUGAGGCACGAAAGUGUGGGGAGCAAACAGGAUUAGAUACCCGAGUAGUC
rnacentral:rRNA from 1 species